UCGAAGGGAGGGGAGGGGGAAUUGAUUGAUGAUUACCGACCGGCCCGUCUCGGAAAUGGAGAGAAACGGACCUGGGAGAGAAAAAGGGGCUCUUCUUCAAGAGAUCCCGUUGGAUCAAGAAGAGGGGGUGGAAAAGGCUUUUUAACGGUGAAGACUUUGGAUGGCAACUGCGUGCCCGAUCCACCAGGCUGGCAGCCCGAUCCCCGGGAUCUAGUAGGCCUGCCACCGAGAACAAGCUCUCAAAAGACGUUAAGGGUUUCUCCUUAAGACGUUUGAAGCGGAGACGGUGCCAGGAAUCCAGAAGGGCUUCUUCCCAGGAAAGAAAAAACAAAAACAAAAACCAGCGCCUAGGAUCGCAGCCCGGCUUUUGCCUCUCUCACCCGGCUGCCGGCACUAACAAUCAGGUCCUGGAGGGAGGCGUUGCUUAUUGGAGCCUGGAGCGGCAGAGCCUCCGGGGCUCACCGAUUUCCUGAGAGUUAAGCUUCUCAGUGGGCCAGACUCGGCUUCGACGCAGGGAGCCUUCGGGUCAGCGGGGGACUUCGAGGCCAAGGCUUCUUGCGCCCGAGAAAGCCAGCUGCACGCCUCCCAAGCCCGCGAGCGGCUGCCUUGCGUGUUCAGCAAAAUAAUAACAAUACAGACAUGACUGGUAGGUUCGCCUUGCUUGUCAAGGGAUACAGCCGCGUCUUGGAUGUGACGGUCAGUGUCAGGUGAAAUUCCAAGCUGGUCGGUCAGAAAUGGCUUGCACGUUUUGAACCUACAGGUGUGGGAGCUCGUCUGAGGAAUUUGCGAGAGGAAGAUCCCUGGCCUUAUCAAGGAAAGCAGCCGUGCUCGCCCACACAAAGCAAAGCAGGGAAUGCGAGAAUUGCUGCUAAAAAUGCGAAUCGCUCAGAGCUUUUGGCAGCUCUCUGAAGGGGAAAGACCAGCAUCUUUGUUUAUCUCCCGAGUGCUAAAUAAAGACAGAAGUGUGAAUAACUGA